GUUGUCGUUUAUCAAUUAUGACAAAUCUUUGCGCAUGCGUGGCCAGCGGCGUCGUCAACGCAGCUAUUUAUAAACUUGGUAAAACUCCGACCCCUCGAAGCCCCCCCAUAUCAUCUCAAAGCCCGGCUUCCUCAUAUGUGUGCAUCUUUUUUGCCCCUGCCCUCGGCCUGGCUCCCCACUCGUAUUAUUUCAAACGAUUCCGUGGUCGCUGUGUGUUGACUUUUCUCGGAUGCCUUUGCAUGUCGCUUGGUUUUUUCGAACUUCAUUUGCGCUUCGGUUCGGUGACAAAUAAAUUAAGUGGCAGCCUCAACCAGAGAGGGGUACAAAAAAAAAAAAAAAACGCCAAAGGCAAAAACCAAGAAAAUAAAGACUGCCCCGGGGCCCAGCCCAGUAUUACAACAAAGUCACCCAGCCAGCAGCAACAAGUGGCUAUCCUUGGACUCUUGAGGGAACCGACUAGGAGAUACCUUGGGUGUUCCAAAAAUUCAGAACACUAAAUUUAUUUCUCCAUAUUUUUAAACCUUUUUUAUUAAGGAAAUAUCUCAAGCCAAUCAGCUGAAAUAUUUACAUCUACAUAAAUAAAUCAGUCUAAAAUUCCCUAUGCCAGACUGACAGCUCCAUCUGUUAAAGUGGCCAUGCUAAGCCUGAGUUGCCUGAAGACCUCACACAUCUGAAGUGUUAAAGUUGCUUUGCACUGGAAAACUACUAGAGGCAAGCCCACACAGCCCUAAAGACAACUCAGCCACUCCAUCAAGGGACCGAUUCUGCCAACUUGAGGGCCAAAAUCAGCUGCUACCGUUUGGCGGGGCCCGAAGGCGAAGGUGCACCUCUUGGCCAAAGUCGUUUAUUAAUUUGGCAUGUGACAAAUUGUGCGUUGGCCAGCAAUUAGAAUUGCGCCUGGGCGCAGAGGGAGAGACGGACAAGUUUUGAGGAUUCGAAGCCUCCAUGCUCCUCGGACAACUUGUCUUCGUUUUAGCGCUGAUUUCACAAAAUUUCACUGCCGAGAGACACGUACAAAACGGCUUCGAUCUCUGGCAUUCUGGGAUUUCUGUGGAUACUGGCGAGGAUGGGGCACUGGGGCGGAGGACGAGGAGCGUCAACAGACGACAAGUGGCACUUUGGCGCAUUAAGAAAAUCUGUACAAGUGUCACUUUGGCACACAAACACACAGGAACAGAACAGAAGGAACCAGAAGGAACCAGAAGCAACAUCGCCAGGAGGAGAGCUGUCAGCUGGAGGAGAUCGGGGCAUCGGGCCAGCCCGGGGGGAUGUAAAUGGAGAAGCCCCGA